rnacentral:rRNA from 1 species
AUGGCACACCUAGAUCGGCCAGCUCCGUCGACGUCGAGCUCCUCUGCUCCCGGUGCCAGAUCUGCCUUGGGCUCCAUCUCCACAGCCACGCACCUACAGCCGCCAUGGAAGGUGCUGUGUGUGUGUUUGCUGCGCAGGUGCUCUGUGUGCUUGCUUCUUCCCUUCCUGGGACGCUGCUGGUCCGACGCCAUGGACAAUUCCACUGAACAAACCAAGGUAAAGAAAGACAAACACGGAAAAGGCUACCUGUUGGCUGUGGGUGCUGAGCUGAUGGACAGUGUGGAAGAAGGAGGUGUGAUCUUGGCAGUGGCCCAUGAAGCAUUUUUUCUUUGCAUGUUGAUCACUAUUGCACUGUUCAGGUUCUUAAUCAAGUGA